rnacentral:rRNA from 1 species
UACAGAGGUCCCAAGCGUUGUUCGGAUUCACUGGGCGUAAAGGGUGCGUAGGUGGCGAGGUAAGUCGGAUGUGAAAGCUCGGAGCUUAACUCCGAAAUGGCAUUGGAAACUACCUUGCUCGAGGGUUGGAGGGGGGACUGGAAUUCUCGGUGUAGCAGUGAAAUGCGUAGAUAUCGAGAGGAACACCAGUGGCGAAGGCGAGUCCCUGGACAACUCCUGACACUGAGGCACGAAAGCUAGGGGAGCAAACAGG